rnacentral:rRNA from 1 species
GAUGAACGCCGGCGGCGUGCCUAAUACAUGCAAGUCGAGCGAACAGACGAGGAGCUUGCUCCUCUGACGUUAGCGGCGGACGGGUGAGUAACACGUGGAUAACCUACCUAUAAGACUGGGAUAACUUCGGGAAACCGGAGCUAAUACCGGAUAAUAUAUUGAACCGCAUGGUUCAAUAGUGAAAGACGGUUUUGCUGUCACUUAUAGAUGGAUCCGCGCCGCAUUAGCUAGUUGGUAAGGUAACGGCUUACCAAGGCAACGAUGCGUAGCCGACCUGAGAGGGUGAUCGGCCACACUGGAACUGAGACACGGUCCAGACUCCCACGGGAGGCAGCAGUAGGGAAUCUUCCGCAAUGGGCGAAAGCCGGACGGGGCAACGCCGCGUGAGUGAUGAAGGUCUUCGGAUCGUAAAACUCUGUUAUUAGGGAAGAACAAAUGUGUAAGUAACUAUGCACGUCUUGACGGUACCUAAUCAGAAAGCCACGGCUAACUACGUG